UAGUCUGGUGCCAGCAGCCGCGGUAAUACGGGAGUGGCAAGCGUUAUCCGGAAUUAUUGGGCGUAAAGCGUCCGCAGGCGGCUUUUCAAGUCUGCUGUUAAAGCGUGGAGCUUAACUCCAUCAUGGCAGUGGAAACUGAAAGGCUUGAGUAUGGUAGGGGCGGAGGGAAUUCCCGGUGUAGCGGUGAAAUGCGUAGAUAUCGGGAAGAACACCAGUGGCGAAGGCGCUCUGCUGGGCCAUUACUGACGCUCAUGGACGAAAGCCAGGGGAGCGAAAGGGAUUAGAUACCCCUGUAGUCCUGGCCGUAAACGAUGAACACUAGGUGUCGGGGGAAUCGACCCCUUCGGUGUCGUAGCUAACGCGUUAAGUGUUCCGCCUGGGGAGUACGCACGCAAGUGUGAAACUCAAAGGAAUUGACGGGGGCCCGCACAAGCGGUGGAGUAUGUGGUUUAAUUCGAUGCAACGCGAAGAACCUUACCAGGGUUUGACAUCCUGCGAACCUCUUAGAAAUUUGAGGGUGCCUUCGGGAAUGCAGUGACAGGUGGUGCAUGGCCGUUCUU
rnacentral:rRNA from 1 species